UAAAUACUCCUGACUGACCGAUAGUGAACCAGUACCGUGAGGGAAAGGCGAAAAGAACCCCGGCGAGGGGAGUGAAAAAGAACCUGAAACCGUGUACGUACAAGCAGUGGGAGCCUCUUAAUGGGGUGACUGCGUACCUUUUGUAUAAUGGGUCAGCGACUUAUAUUCUGUAGCAAGGUUAACCGAAUAGGGGAGCCGAAGGGAAACCGAGUCUUAACUGGGCGUUAAGUUGCAGGGUAUAGACCCGAAACCCGGUGAUCUAGCCAUGGGCAGGUUGAAGGUUGGGUAACACUAACUGGAGGACCGAACCGACUAAUGUUGAAAAAUUAGCGGAUGACUUGUGGCUGGGGGUGAAAGGCCAAUCAAACCGGGAGAUAGCUGGUUCUCCCCGAAAGCUAUUUAGGUAGCGCCUCGUGAAUUCAUCUCCGGGGGUAGAGCACUGUUUCGGCAAGGGGGUCAUCCCGACUUACCAACCCGAUGCAAACUGCGAAUACCGGAGAAUGUUAUCACGGGAGACACACGGCGGGUGCUAACGUCCGUCGUGAAGAGGGAAACAACCCAGACCGCCAGCUAAGGUCCCAAAGUCAUGGUUAAGUGGGAAACGAUGUGGGAAGGCCCAGACAGCCAGGAUGUUGGCUUAGAAGCAGCCAUCAUUUAAAGAAAGCGUAAUAGCUCACUGGUCGAGUCGGCCUGCGCGGAAGAUGUAACGGGGCUAAACCAUGCACCGAAGCUGCGGCAGCGACACUAUGUGUUGUUGGGUAGGGGAGCGUUCUGUAAGCCUGUGAAGGUGGCCUGUGAGGGGUGCUGGAGGUAUCAGAAGUGCGAAUGCUGACAUAAGUAACGAUAAAGCGGGUGAAAAGCCCGCUCGCCGGAAGACCAAGGGUUCCUGUCCAACGUUAAUCGGGGCAGGGUGAGUCGACUCCUAAGGCGAGGCCGAAAGGCGUAGUCGAUGGGAAACAGGUUAAUAUUCCUGUACUUGGUGUUACUGCGAAGGGGGGACGGAGAAGGCUAUGUUGGCCGGGCGACGGUUGUCCCGGUUUAAGCGUGUAGGCUGGUUUUCCAGGCAAAUCCGGAAAACCAAGGCUGAGGCGUGAUGACGAGGCACUACGGUGCUGAAGUGACAAAUGCCCUGCUUCCAGGAAAAGCCUCUAAGCAUCAGGUAACAUCAAAUCGUACCCCAAACCGACACAGGUGGUCAGGUAGAGAAUACCAAGGCGCUUGAGAGAACUCGGGUGAAGGAACUAGGCAAAAUGGUGCCGUAACUUCGGGAGAAGGCACGCUGAUAUGUAGGUGAAGCGACUUGCUCGUGGAGCUGAAAUCAGUCGAAGAUACCAGCUGGCUGCAACUGUUUAUUAAAAACACAGCACUGUGCAAACACGAAAGUGGACGUAUACGGUGUGACGCCUGCCCGGUGCCGGAAGGUUAAUUGAUGGGGUUAGCGGUAACGCGAAGCUCUUGAUCGAAGCCCCGGUAAACGGCGGCCGUAACUAUAACGGUCCUAAGGUAGCGAAAUUCCUUGUCGGGUAAGUUCCGACCUGCACGAAUGGCGUAAUGAUGGCCAGGCUGUCUCCACCCGAGACUCAGUGAAAUUGAACUCGCUGUGAAGAUGCAGUGUACCCGCGGCAAGACGGAAAGACCCCGUGAACCUUUACUAUAGCUUGACACUGAACAUUGAGCCUUGAUGUGUAGGAUAGGUGGGAGGCUUUGAAGUGUGGACGCCAGUCUGCAUGGAGCCGACCUUGAAAUACCACCCUUUAAUGUUUGAUGUUCUAACGUUGGCCCGUAAUCCGGGUUGCGGACAGUGUCUGGUGGGUAGUUUGACUGGGGCGGUCUCCUCCUAAAGAGUAACGGAGGAGCACGAAGGUUGGCUAAUCCUGGUCGGACAUCAGGAGGUUAGUGCAAUGGCAUAAGCCAGCUUGACUGCGAGCGUGACGGCGCGAGCAGGUGCGAAAGCAGGUCAUAGUGAUCCGGUGGUUCUGAAUGGAAGGGCCAUCGCUCAACGGAUAAAAGGUACUCCGGGGAUAACAGGCUGAUACCGCCCAAGAGUUCAUAUCGACGGCGGUGUUUGGCACCUCGAUGUCGGCUCAUCACAUCCUGGGGCUGAAGUAGGUCCCAAGGGUAUGGCUGUUCGCCAUUUAAAGUGGUACGCGAGCUGGGUUUAGAACGUCGUGAGACAGUUCGGUCCCUAUCUGCCGUGGGCGCUGGAGAACUGAGGGGGGCUGCUCCUAGUACGAGAGGACCGGAGUGGACGCAUCACUGGUGUUCGGGUUGUCAUGCCAAUGGCACUGCCCGGUAGCUAAAUGCGGAAGAGAUAAGUGCUGAAAGCAUCUAAGCACGAAACUUGCCCCGAGAUGAGUUCUCCCUGACUCCUUGAGAGUCCUGAAGGAACGUUGAAGACGACGACGUUGAUAGGCCGGGUGUGUAAGCGCAGCGAUGCGUUGAGCUAACCGGUACUAAUGAACCGUGAGGCUUAACCUU
rnacentral:rRNA from 1 species